rnacentral:rRNA from 1 species
UGGGGAAUAUUGCGCAAUGGGCGAAAGCCUGACGCAGCGACGCAGCGUGAGGGACGAAGGCCUUCGGGUUGUAAACCUCUUUCAGCGGGGACGAAGCGAAAGUGACGGUACCCGCAGAAGAAGCACCGGCUAACUACGUGCCAGCAGCCGCGGUAAUACGUAGGGUGCAAGCAUUGUCCGGAUUUAUUGGGCGUAAAGAGCUCGUAGGCGGCUUGUCACGUCGGGCGUGAAAACUCGGGGCUUAACCCCGAGCCUGCGCUCGAUACGGGCUAGCUAGAGUGUUGCAGGGGAGACUGGAAUUCCUGGUGUAGCGGUGAAAUGCGCAGAUAUCAGGAGGAACACCGGUGGCGAAGGCGGGUCUCUGGGCAACUACUGACGCUGAGGAGCGAAAGCGUGGGGAGCGAACAGG